UGGAGCAUAGCCAAGUGGCAAGGCAUCGGUUUUUGGUACCGACAUUCAUAGGUUCGAAUCCUAUUGCUCCAG
rnacentral:tRNA from 1 species